GGAAGGACCAUCUGCCAACACAACAAGAAGGUGGCCAUCUGGAAGCCAAGGAAAGAGGCUUCAGGAGAAACCAAGUCCGCUGACAUCUCAUCUCGCUCAAGCUUUCGUCCAUGCUGGUGAGAUGCUGUGCGAAAACCAGUUCUGAAGGCGUUGUGAGAAGGGAAGCGUUCACUAUGAUUUCAGUACCUCACGCCAUCAGGAUGCUCAGGUAAGACUAUGGCAGAACUGGGACCCGUACCGAAGACAUCAGCAUACUUGUCCAUAUUUGUAAG